GAUGAAGAACGUAGCGAAAUGCGAUAAGUAAUGUGAAUUGCAGAAUUCCGUGAAUCAUCGAAUCUUUGAACGCAUAUUGCGCCCUCUGGUAUUCCGGAGGCAUGCCUGUCCGAGCGUCAUUACUAUCUUCAAGCACGGCUUGGUUGUUGAGCCAAUUGUCCUUUUAAUGGACAGGCUUAAAAUCCAGUGGCGAUGCGGAGUCCUGGUGCCCGAGCGUAUGGAGCUCUGUCACACGCUUUAGUGGUCCAGNNGGCAUUUUCGUCGAUUAAACCUUAAGAAAAACCUAAGAUUUGACCUCGGAUCAGGUAAGGAUACCCGCUGAACUUAAGCAUAUCAAUAAGCGGAGGA
rnacentral:misc_RNA from 1 species